AACAUAGUCUUAAGAAACUAUUUAAGAUAAUGCCUGCCCAGUGCUUGUAGUAAACGGCCGCAGUACCUUGACUGUGCUAAGGUAGCAUAAUCAGUUGGCUUUUAAAUGGAGUCGGGAAUGAAUGGAUUUAUAGGGCACCGCUGUCUCUUAUAUACUUUAUUGAACUUACUAACUAGGUGAAAAUGCCUAAAAUUAGAAAAAAGACGAGAAGACCCUAGGAGUUUUGACAAAUUUUUAAACAAUUUAACUACUGUUUUUGUUGGGGCGACAAAGGAUUAGAUAUACAACUUCCUUUAAUCAAUUUGCCGACUUUGUAUGUGAAAUUAAACUACCCUAGGGAUAACAGCGUAAUUCUUUUAGAGCUUGCGACCUCGAUGUUGGACUAGGAAUUCGUUUGGCUAGCCGCCAAUUUGCAUUGUUCUGUUCGAACUUAACUUCCU
rnacentral:rRNA from 1 species